UGGGGAAUAUUGCACAAUGGGCGCAAGCCUGAUGCAGCCAUGCCGCGUGUGUGAAGAAGGCCUUCGGGUUGUAAAGCACUUUCAGCGGGGAGGAAGGCGAUAAGGUUAAUAACCUUGUCGAUUGACGUUACCCGCAGAAGAAGCACCGGCUAACUCCGUGCCAGCAGCCGCGGUAAUACGGAGGGUGCAAGCGUUAAUCGGAAUUACUGGGCGUAAAGCGCACGCAGGCGGUUGAUUGAGUCAGAUGUGAAAUCACCGGGCUUAACCCGGGAAUUGCAUCUGAUACUGGUCAGCUAGAGUCUUGUAGAGGGGGGUAGAAUUCCAUGUGUAGCGGUGAAAUGCGUAGAGAUGUGGAGGAAUACCGGUGGCGAAGGCGGCCCCCUGGACAAAGACUGACGCUCAGGUGCGAAAGCGUGGGGAGCAAACAGG
rnacentral:rRNA from 1 species